UACGUAGGGACCGAGCGUUAUCCGGAUUCAUUGGGCGUAAAGGGCGCGUAGGCGGUUCGUUAAGUCCUGUGUGAAAUCCCCCGGCUCAACUGGGGAACUGCACAGGAAACUAGCGGGCUUGAGUUCGGGAGAGGGAAGCGGAAUUCCGGGUGUAGCGGUGAAGUGCGUAGAUAUCCGGAGGAACACCGGUGGCGAAGGCGGCUUCCUGGACCGACACUGACGCUGAGGCGCGAAAGCUAGGGGAGCAAACGGG
rnacentral:rRNA from 1 species